rnacentral:rRNA from 1 species
UACGUAGGGGGCGAGCGUUGUCCGGAAUUACUGGGCGUAAAGGGCGCGCAGGCGGCCGUGUAAGUCCGCUGUGAAAGACCGGGGCUCAACCCCGGGGUGUCAGCGGGGACUGCACGGCUGGAGUCCCGGAGGGGGAGGCGGAAUACCUGGUGUAGCAGUGGAAUGCGUAGAGAUCAGGUGGAACACCGAUGGCGAAGGCAGCCUCCUGGACGGGUACUGACGCUGAGGCGCGAAAGCGUGGGGAGCGAACGGG